GCCUUAUCGAGAGCGGUGGAGGGAACGGCCCGAUGAAACCCGGCAACCUGCAAUGCAAGGUGCCAAAUCCGGCGAGGAAAUCGAAAGAUGAGGA
rnacentral:ncRNA from 2 species